CAGUCGCCGCGGGAAUACGGAGGGGGCUAGCGUUGUUCGGAAUUACUGGGCGUAAAGCGCACGUAGGCGGCUUGGUAAGUUAGAGGUGAAAGCCUGGAGCUCAACUCCAGAAUUGCCUUUAAGACUGCCGAGCUAGCAGGUGAGAGAGGUAAGUGGAAUUCCGGGUGUAGAGGUGAAAUUCGUAGAUAUUCGGAAGAACACCAGUGGCGAAGGCGGCUUACUGGCUCAUACUGGACGCUGAGGUGCGAAAGCGUGGGGAGCAAACAGGAUUAGAUACCCCUGUAGUCCCUGUCUCUUAUAC
rnacentral:rRNA from 1 species